CAGGUUCCAAUUAUUACAGAUUAAAUCAUAACUCUUCCAAUACUAAUAUGUCUGUAGUUGCGAAGCUAAUAGAUAAUGUCAACAGAGAGUGGAAUAAAGAGCUUAUCAUCAAUACGUUCUCGGCAGCAGAUGUGGCCAGGAUUUUGCAGAUUCCCCUGGCAACAGAGCGACAUGAUGACAUAGUGGUGUGGAGGGGUGAGCCUUCAGGCGAGUUCUCCAUCCGCAGCGCCUAUAAACUAUUACAAAAAACUUUAGAUAAGUUAUAGGCCACUUCAAAAAACUUUUACAAAAAACUCUAGAGCCUAAAGCUUUCUACUAAAUUGAAAAUUAUAAUAUGGAUAUCAAUGAAUUUCAUCCCGACUCUUGUGAACUUAAAUCACAAAGGAAUGGUGUCCAACAUGGGCUACCCCAAAUGCAAUAGAGAAAUCAAAACUAUGGAUCAUACUUUCCAAAUAUGUCCUGUUUCAGUGGAAGUUUGGUCUCUAUUAGGGAUGCAAUGGAUCUUACAAAAACCAGACUUUGAUAGUUUUACAUGGCUUACCUGGGUCUUUGAAGAGAGCUCACUGUAUCAAAUGAGGUUGUUUUGUUGUGCUCUUUGGGCCCUCUAGAUGGAUAGAAACAAAAUAUUGCAUGAAGGAAAGACCCAAUCUGCAAGGGAGAUCUCUAGAUUCAUAUAUAGCUACAUAAAAGAAAUGGACAGUUUAGAAGGAAGUGGACUUACAAGAAAUGCUGAAAUAACGACCUGGGUACCCCC
rnacentral:lncRNA from 1 species